ensembl:lncRNA
CUCCGGCUGAACCCUGGGAGCAGAAGGAAUGCAUUUAUGGCACUUUGUCAUCGGUGAGAAAAACCUGCUGUGUGAAGCUGGGCUCCCCCCGGAACCCCAGAGCUGAUGGAAGGAAGGUCCUGGAACCUGGGCACAAAGCAGCCUUAAGCUUUUUGUUGGAGGCAGAGCGAAGUGUGACAGCUGUAAUGGGAGAGUGGGUAAAUGUGACCAAAAGCCCGGCCUGAAGUUCACAGCGAAACUGAAGUGCUGCACCACUUUCAAGGAGGAGAAUUUGGGCCAAGGAUUCAGCGACGGACAUCUGAAGAACUCAGAAAAAAACAACAACCAAGGGAUGGGGAAAACAGAACAAAGGAAGAGACCGGCUCCCUUUCACAGCCACCUCCUUCUCUUACGGCUCCUCAGCAGACACGUGAGCGAGCUCCUGCGGGGUGGGUGCCACGCGCACUGAGAGCAGAGUGCUGCAGACCCGUGCUCCGAGCAGGCGGCAGACGGACAGGAGCAGCGCUGCCUGACUCCGGGCUGACCCAGGAACCCAAGAUUUUUGGCAUACUGGUCUUGACCUCUCCUUUCUGUCCUGUCAGCUGUUAUUUCCCAGUGCCCUUGGAUAGGCUGAAUUUGCUCUUCCUCGCGGCCUUUAUAUAGUUCCCCCCUCCCCAUACUUCUGUUAGGCUUUUAGAUCUUUGGGCGAAUCUUGGAACUGCGGAUUAAAAUCCCACAUCUCAGCUUUUAUGAAAAGAUUUGCCGAGGUCUGGGUGUUGCUGGAAGCCUGAUAUUCUGCACCAUUUACCGGCUGUGAAUUAUGUAGAUACUCAUAUUUUUAAUUUCCUUUCAUUUAGUUGUGUGUGCAGGACCUCUGUCAUGACCAGCAGGGAACUCUCCUGGGUACAAAGAGGCUAUUCAGCUCCUGUGCCAACCCUGGCUCGUAAAAGCCUGACAGCUCUCAACAAACAAAGCCUAGAAAUGUUGC